rnacentral:rRNA from 1 species
UAUAAUUAAAUUUAAUUUUUAUUGAUUUUAAGGUAUUAAAUGAUAAAUCAUUAAAUAUAAAAGAUUUGGCGGUAUUUUAAAUAAUUAGAGGAACCUGUAUAUUAAUUGAUAUUCCACGAUAAGAUAAACUUAACUUAUGAUUUAUGUAUUGCUGUUUAAAGAUUAUUAUUGAUUAAAUUUUUUAAUUUUUAAAUUAUAAUUUAAUUCAGGUCAAAAUAUAGUUUAGUUAAGAUUUAAUAUGGGUUACAAUUUUUUUUAAUUAAUUGAUAAAUUUAAUUUAAUUUAUUUUUUGAGAUUGGAUUUAACAGUAAAUUUAAUGAAUUAAUUAUUUUGAAAUUUAAAAUAAAAUAAGU